CCUACGGGAGGCAGCAGUGGGGAAUAUUGCACAAUGGGGGAAACCCUGAUGCAGCGACGCCGCGUGAGUGAUGAAGUAUUUCGGUAUGUAAAGCUCUAUCAGCAGGGAAGAUAAUGACGGUACCUGACUAAGAAGCUCCGGCUAAAUACGUGCCAGCAGCCGCGGGAACACGGAUGGAGCAAGCGUUAUCCGGAUUUACGGGGUGUAAAGGGAGUGCAGACGGCAGGGCAAGGCUGAUGGGAAAGGCCGGGGUACAACCCCGGGACUGCAUUUGAAACUGGCCGGCUAGAGUGCAGGAGAGGUAAGUGGAAUGCCUAGUGUAGCGGUGAAAUGCGUAGAUAUUAGGAGGAACACCAGUGGCGAAGGCGGCUUACUGGACUGUAACUGACGUUGAGGCUCGAAAGCGUGGGGAGCAAACAGGAUUAGAUACCCGAGUAGUC
rnacentral:rRNA from 1 species